rnacentral:rRNA from 1 species
AUUGAACGCUGGCGGCAUGCCUUACACAUGCAAGUCGAACGGCAGCGGGGGAGAAGCUUGCUUUUCCUGCCGGCGAGUGGCGAACGGGUGAGUAAUACAUCGGAACGUGCCCUGUAGUGGGGGAUAACUAGUCGAAAGAUUAGCUAAUACCGCAUACGACCUGAGGGUGAAAGUGGGGGACCGCAAGGCCUCAUGCUAUAGGAGCGGCCGAUGUCUGAUUAGCUAGGUGGUGGGGUAAAGGUCUACCAAGGCGACGAUCAGUAGCUGGUCUGAGAGGACGAUCAGCCACACUGGGACUGAGACACGGCCCAGACUCCUACGGGAGGCAGCAGUGGGGAAUUUUGGACAAUGGGCGAAAGCCUGAUCCAGCAAUGCCGCGUGUGUGAAGAAGGCCUUCGGGUUGUAAAGCACUUUUGUCCGGAAAGAAAUGGCUCUGGUUAAUACCUGGGGUCGAUGACGGUACCGGAAGAAUAAGGACCGGCUAACUACGUGCCAGCCGCCGCAGUAA